AAGUGGAGCAAUCCAUGAGUAAAGUGGCGACCGGGUGAGUAACACGUGACUAACCUACCUUCGAGUGGGGAAUAACCUGGGGAAACCGGGGCUAAUACCGCAUAAUGUCUUCGGACCAAAGGAGCAAUUCGCUGGAAGAGGGGGUCGCGGCCGAUUAGCUAGUUGGCGGGGUAACGGCCCACCAAGGCAAUGAUCGGUAGCCGGCCUGAGAGGGCGCACGGCCACACUGGAACUGAAACACGGUCCAGACUCCUACGGGAGGCAGCAGUGGGGAAUUUUGCGCAAUGGGGGAAACCCUGACGCAGCAACGCCGCGUGGAGGAUGAAGCCCCUUGGG
rnacentral:rRNA from 1 species